AGAGAUAAAAAUUAUAUUAAUAGUAAAGUGAUAAAUUGAGUGAAAGGAAGAGAUAAACACAACAAAUUAAUGUAUUUUAGAGACGUUUAAUUUAACAAUAUUUUUAUUUAUGGAUGGUUUUUUGUAAAUCCCAAAUGUUAAAACAUAUUUACUUAAAAUUAACUCAUUGCAAACUUUUCUUUUAAAGUGAUCAAACAACUUACUACUUCUUACAUUUAAAGGAGGAAAAGAAUGACACAAAUUCCAUCUUUCAUUUAUGUUUUGAUCAUCUUUCUUUCCCAAUUUUUAUUUUUUGUUGUAGCGAAUUGUAAUUUUCUGAGUCCGAUUCCAUGCGGGAUUCCAAGUGAUUGUCCAGAAAAUAUGUGUGAUGGGGCUCCUCUAGUUCGGUGGUGUUUUAAUCAUCGUUGUGAGUGUAUGUAAGUGUAACAAUUAAAUUGAAAAAUAAUUCAUUGUUGUAUGUUUUAAUGUUGAUACUCUUAUAAUUUCCCACACACAUGUGUAUUGUUAUAUUAUACAAGCUCAAAUAUGUAUUAAUUGUUAUAUUAUACAAGUAGGCAACCUUCAUUCA